CUGUUGAAAAAAUAAGGAUAGUUCCGCUAAGCACAAACCAGAUGGGAUGGCGCAUUGCUGCAGAAUGCUGUGGUAGCCAUGCAGGUUAAGUGUGUCUUGAAUUUUAAAUAUAUCACAGAUAGUGUCACCAGCAAAGCACCCCCAAACCAUCACACCUCCUCUUCCAUGCUUCACGGGGGGAACCACACAUGUUUGCGUCUCACACAAGAUACGGCAGUUGGAACCAAAAAUAUCAAAUUUGGACUCAUCAGAGCAAAGGGCAGAUUUCCACCUGUCUAAAUGUCCAUUGCUCGUGUGUCUUGGCCCAAGCAAGUCUCUUCUUCUUAUUGGUGUCCUUUAGUAGUGGUUUCUUUGCAGCAAUGUAACCAUGAAGGCCUGAUUCACUCAGUCUCCUCUGAACAGUUGAUGUUGGGAUGUGUCUGCUACGUGAACUCUGUGAAACAUUUAUUUGGGCUGCAUUCUGAGGUGCAAUUAACUCUAAUGAACUAAUGUUCUGUAGCAUGUUCUUGAAAUGUUGCGGAUUGACUGACCUUCAUGUUUUAAAGUAAUAAUGGACUGUCAUUUCUCUUUGCUUAUUUGAGCUGUUCUUGCCAUAAUAUGGACUUGGUCUUUUACCGAAUAGGGCUAUCUUCUGUAUACCACCCCUACGUUGUCACAACACAACUGGUUGGCUCAAAUGCAUUAUGAAGAAAAUAAAUUCCACAAAUUUAACUUUUAACAAGGCACACCUGUUAAUUGAAAUACAUUCCAGGUGACUACCUCAUGAAGCUGGUUGAGAGAAUGCCAAGAAUGUGCAAAGCUAUCAUUAAGGCAAAGGGUGGCUACUUUGAAGAAUAUAAAAAUAUUUGGAUUACUUUUUUGGUUACUACAUGAUUACAUAUGUGUUGUUUCUUAGUUUUGAUGUCAUCACUAUUAUUCUACAAUCUAGAAAAUAGUACAAAUAAAGAAAAACCCUUGAAUGAGUAGGUGCGUCCAAACUUUUGACUGGUACUGUAUACAGUCUGGCAGCAAAUAGCUUUGUAUUUGUACCCCUAUCUCGUCAGGUUAGUAACCACUAUAAUAGGAGUCUCUCUAUCCAUAUUCUGGCAGCCUAACAUAGAGGUUACAUUUUCCAUAUUCUCUUUUCUUUAAUGCUUUCUCCUACGUUUUAUCCACUAAGUCUUUGAUUUAACCAUAUGUCCAUAGUUUCAAGGAUGUUCAUUCUGAAUAGCAGUUGACUGUCAUAGAUUCGGCUAAAAUUGCAUAACGAUCAUCAGAUAAUACAUUUUCAUUUGUCCUCUAGCGGCUUGUGAAAGUAACAGGAUAUGUUUAGGUCACCAUUCUCCCUGGAGGGUUAGACAGUAACAUGUUUAGGGUACCAUUCUCCCUGGAGGGUUAGACAGUAACAUGUUUAGGGUACCAUUCUCCCUGGAGGGUUAGACAGUAACAUGUUUAGGGUACCAUUCUCCCUGGAGGGUUAGACAUGUUUAGGGUACCAUUCUCCCUGGAGGGUUAGACAUGUUUAGGGCACCAUUCUCCCUGGAGGGUUAGACAGUAACAUGUUUAGGGUACCAUUCUCCCUGGAGGGUUAGACAGUAACAGGACAUGUUUAGGGUACCAUUCUCCCUGGAGGGUUAGACAGUAACAUGUUUAGGGAACCAUUCUCCCUGGAGGGUUAGACAGUAACAUGUUUAGGGUACCAUUCUCCCUGGAGGGUUAGACAGUAACAUGUUUAGGGUACCAUUCUCCCUGGAGGGUUAGACAGUAACAUGUUUAGGGUACCAUUCUCCCUGGAGGGUUAGACAUGUUUAGGGUACCAUUCUCCCUGGAGGGUUAGACAUGUUUAGGGUACCAUUCUCCCUGGAGGGUUAGACAGUAACAUGUUUAGGGAACCAUUCUCCCUGGAGGGUUAGACAUGUUUAGGGUACCAUUCUCCCUGGAGGGUUAGACAGUAACAUGUUUAGGGUACCAUUCUCCCUGGAGGGUUAGACAGUAACAUGUUUAGGGAACCAUUCUCCCUGGAGGGUUAGACAUGUUUAGGGUACCAUUCUCCCUGGAGGGUUAGACAUGUUUAGGGCACCAUUCUCCCUGGAGGGUUAGACAGUAACAUGUUUAGGGUACCAUUCUCCCUGGAGGGUUAGACAUGUUUAGGGUACCAUUCUCCCUGGAGGGUUAGACAGUAACAUGUUUAGGGUACCAUUCUCCCUGGAGGGUUAGACAGUAACAUGUUUAGGGCACCAUUCUCCCUGGAGGGUUAGACAUUAACAUGUUUAGGGUACCAUUCUCCCUGGAGGGUUAGACAGUAACAUGUUUAGGGUACCAUUCUCCCUGGAGGGUUAGACAGUAAUAUGUUUAGGGUACCAUUCUCCCUGGAGGGUUAGACAGUAACAGGACAUGUUUAGGGUACCAUUCUCCCUGGAGGGUUAGACAGUAACAUGUUUAGGGUACCAUUCUCCCUGGAGGGUUAGACAGUAACAUGUUUAGGAUACCAUUCUCCCUGGAGGGUUAGACAGUAACAGGACAUGUUUAGGGUACCAUUCUCCCUGGAGGGUUAGACAGUAACAUGUUUAGGGUACCAUUCUCCCUGGAGGGUUAGACAGUAACAUGUUUAGGGAACCAUUCUCCCUGGAGGGUUAGACAGUAACAUGUUUAGGGUACCAUUCUCCCUGGAGGGUUAGACAGUAACAUGUUUAGGGUACCAUUCUCCCUGGAGGGUUAGACAGUAACAUGUUUAGGGUACCAUUCUCCCUGGAGGGUUAGACAGUAACAUGUUUAGGGUACCAUUCUCCCUGGAGGGUUAGACAGUAACAUGUUUAGGGUACCAUUCUCCCUGGAGGGUUAGACAGUAACAUGUUUAGGGUACCAUUCUCCCUGGAGGGUUAGACAGUAACAUGUUUAGGGUACCAUUCUCCCUGGAGGGUUAGACAGUAACAUGUUUAGGGUACCAUUCUCCCUGGAGGGUUAGACAGUAACAUGUUUAGGGUACCAUUCUCCCUGGAGGGUUAGACAUGUUUAGGGUACCAUUCUCCCUGGAGGGUUAGACAGUAACAUGUUUAGGGUACCAUUCUCCCUGGAGGGUUAGACAGUAACAUGUUUAGGGUACCAUUCUCCCUGGAGGGUUAGACAGUAACAUGUUUAGGGUACCAUUCUCCCUGGAGGGUUAGACAGUAACAUGUUUAGGGUACCAUUCUCCCUGGAGGGUUAGACAUGUUUAGGGUACCAUUCUCCCUGGAGGGUUAGACAGUAACAUGUUUAGGGUACCAUUCUCCCUGGAGGGUUAGACAGUAACAUGUUUAGGGUACCAUUCUCCCUGGAGGGUUAGACAGUAACAUGUUUAGGGUACCAUUCUCCCUGGAGGGUUAGACAGUAACAUGUUUAGGGUACCAUUCUCCCUGGAGGGUUAGACAGUAACAUGUUUAGGGUACCAUUCUCCCUGGAGGGUUAGACAUGUUUAGGGUACCAUUCUCCCUGGAGGGUUAGACAGUAACAGGACAUGUUUAGGGCACCAUUCUCCCUGGAGGGUUAGACAUGUUUAGGGCACCAUUCUCCCUGGAGGGUUAGACAGUAACAUGUUUAGGGCACCAUUCUCCCUGGAGGGUUAGACAUGUUUAGGGCACCAUUCUCCCUGGAGGGUUAGACAGUAACAGGACAUGUUUAGGGUACCAUUCUCCCUGGAGGGUUAGACAGUAACAGGACAUGUUUAGGGUACCAUUCUCCCUGGAGGGUUAGACAGUAACAUGUUUAGGGUACCAUUCUCCCUGGAGGGUUAGACAGUAACAUGUUUAGGGUACCAUUCUCUCUGGAGGGUUAGACAGUAACAUGUUUAGGGUACCAUUCUCCCUGGAGGGUUAGACAGUAACAUGUUUAGGGUACCAUUCUCCCUGGAGGGUUAGACAGUAACAUGUUUAGGGUACCAUUCUCCCUGGAGGGUUAGACAGUAACAUGUUUAGGGUACCAUUCUCCCUGGAGGGUUAGACAGUAACAGGACAUGUUUAGGGUACCAUUCUCCCUGGAGGGUUAGACAGUAACAUGUUUAGGGUACCAUUCUCCCUGGAGGGUUAGACAGUAACAUGUUUAGGGUACCAUUCUCCCUGGAGGGUUAGACAGUAACAUGUUUAGGGUACCAUUCUCCCUGGAGGGUUAGACAGUAACAUGUUUAGGGUACCAUUCUCCCUGGAGGGUUAGACAGUAACAUGUUUAGGGUACCAUUCUCCCUGGAGGGUUAGACAGUAACAUGUUUAGGGUACCAUUCUCCCUGGAGGGUUAGACAGUAAUAUGUUUAGGGUACCAUUCUCCCUGGAGGGUUAGACAGUAACAUGUUUAGGGUACCAUUCUCCCUGGAGGGUUAGACAGUAAUAUGUUUAGGGUACCAUUCUCCCUGGAGGGUUAGACAGUAACAGGACAUGUUUAGGGUACCAUUCUCCCUGGAGGGUUAGACAGUAACAUGUUUAGGGCACCAUUCUCCCUGGAGGGUUAGACAGUAACAUGUUUAGGGUACCAUUCUCCCUGGAGGGUUAGACAGUAACAUGUUUAGGGUACCAUUCUCCCUGGAGGGUUAGACAGUAAUAUGUUUAGGGUACCAUUCUCCCUGGAGGGUUAGACAGUAACAGGACAUGUUUAGGGUACCAUUCUCCCUGGAGGGUUAGACAGUAACAUGUUUAGGGCACCAUUCUCCCUGGAGGGUUAGACAGUAACAUGUUUAGGGUACCAUUCUCCCUGGAGGGUUAGACAGUAACAGGACAUGUUUAGGGUACCAUUCUCCCUGGAGGGUUAGACAGUAACAUGUUUAGGGUACCAUUCUCCCUGGAGGGUUAGACAGUAACAGGACAUGUUUAGGGUACCAUUCUCCCUGGAGGGUUAGACAGUAACAUGUUUAGGGUACCAUUCUCCCUGGAGGGUUAGACAUGUUUAGGGUACCAUUCUCCCUGGAGGGUUAGACAGUAACAUGUUUAGGGAACCAUUCUCCCUGGAGGGUUAGACAGUAACAGGACAUGUUUAGGGUACCAUUCUCCCUGGAGGGUUAGACAUGUUUAGGGUACCAUUCUCCCUGGAGGGUUAGACAUGUUUAGGGUACCAUUCUCCCUGGAGGGUUAGACAGUAACAGGACAUGUUUAGGGUACCAUUCUCCCUGGAGGGUUAGACAUGUUUAGGGUACCAUUCUCCCUGGAGGGUUAGACAGUAACAUGUUUAGGGUACCAUUCUCCCUGGAGGGUUAGACAUGUUUAGGUCACCAUUCUCCCUGGAGGGUUAGACAGUAACAUGUUUAGGGUACCAUUCUCCCUGGAGGGUUAGACAGUAACAUGUUUAGGGAACCAUUCUCCCUGGAGGGUUAGACAGUAACAUGUUUAGGGUACCAUUCUCCCUGGAGGGUUAGACAGUAACAGGACAUGUUUAGGGCACCAUUCUCCCUGGAGGGUUAGACAUGUUUAGGGUACCAUUCUCCCUGGAGGGUUAGACAGUAACAUGUUUAGGGUACCAUUCUCCCUGGAGGGUUAGACAGUAACAUGUUUAGGGAACCAUUCUCCCUGGAGGGUUAGACAGUAACAUGUUUAGGGUACCAUUCUCCCUGGAGGGUUAGACAGUAAUAUGUUUAGGGUACCAUUCUCCCUGGAGGGUUAUACAGUAACAUGACAUGUUUAGGGUACCAUUCUCCCUGGAGGGUUAGACAGUAACAUGUUUAGGGUACCAUUCUCCCUGGAGGGUUAGACAGUAACAUGUUUAGGGUACCAUUCUCCCUGGAGGGUUAGACGGUAACAUGUUUAGGGUACCAUUCUCCCUGGAGGGUUAGACAUGUUUA